rnacentral:rRNA from 1 species
UCCCAGCUGUAAACUAUGCAAAUUCAGUGAUGCAUUGACUUAUGGUCAAUGCAGUGCUGCAGGGAAGCCGUUAAGUUUGCCGCCUGGGAAGUACGUACGCAAGUAUGAAACUUAAAGGAAUUGGCGGGGGAGCACCACAAGGGGUGAAGCCUGCGGUUCAAUUGGACAACGCCAGAAAUCUUACCCGGAGAGACAGCAGAAUGAAGGUCAAGCUGAAGACUUUACCAGACAAG